UUGACAACUGACAGUUAUAACCACUGUGGAGCUUAUUAUUAAAAGCCAGAAUAACAAGGUGGAUGAGAUAAUCAGUCAACAUUUGAAUGCACUUUUCUUUUCUCUUGACCUAAUUUUGACAGAUGACACAGUUUAGAAAGAUGCAUUUCAAAGGGAAUCUAACUGAAACUGUUUUUGAAAACUGAAGGGACGUGCCUCCCCUCCAUCCCCAGUAAAAAUGUUGACCUAAAUAUACAUUUAAAUGCGCUUAUUCGAACCACUCUUCUCUGGCCACCACAUAAUCAUCUUACACUGCGUCCCAUAUUUUCAUCUGACAGCCUAAGAAUACCCUGCCAUCGAUUCCCGUCUGUGAGCAAUUCUGUUUCUCAGAUCCUCACAUGUUUGACGCUAUUCGACUGUCAGGUCAGUGCAACACACUCAGAGGACUCUGAAAGCAGGUCACUCAAAGCCACCACCGUGCAGACAGCUGCCGUGCUGCUAACAGCAAAAUGAGGGGACGUUUAAUUUGCCCCUCACUUAAUGGAGCAGUGAAACAGUGAACUGGGGCUGGACGGGCAGACGACCACAACUCUCCUUGCUCAGAGGGUUCAUGCAUACGCUUCCUUUGUCAUGAAGAAUGUGUGUGUGUGCUGUGUAAUUAUCAGUAAUCAGUAUUUGUAUAUAAUCAAUUUGAAGUAAAAAGGGUUAAUGUAUUGAGCACAGUUUUAAUCCAAUACUGUUUGACUUUAUAACACUUGUAAUGAGUUUUCUUGAUUUCUUCUCCCCUCUAUUCACUCCACUCGCUGUUGCAAUGCAUGAUGGGCAGGCUCGAUAUUGUGCAUGACACCUGCAACAAGUGUUGUACCCAUGAUGCACGGUGCUACUCCAGCCACUGUGUCUGCAGCCACCACAUCUGCCACAAGUGUUCCCUUUGCAACCGCAACAGCCAAUCAGAUUCCAAUGAUAUCUGCAGAGCAUCUGACUAGUCACAAGUAUGUGACCCAGAUGUAGGAGUCUCAAUCAGAACAAUGGAACGGGAGUGUGCUGGCGAGGAUUCUGAGAUGAGCAGUCACCCUUCAUGCCUGUAACAUCAAGCGAAGAGGAACCAAAACCUGGACUGGUUUGGAAUAAAUCUGCAUGUUAACUUAGGAGGCACAGUUUUGUCAGAAUCGUUUUCUUGUGUAUUUCAUGCACACUAUUACACGACAACAACAGAAAAGAACAUAAUUUGCAUUACAGACUGCCUUUCGCUCUGUAGAGGCCACUUACCUUUAUUCACCGGACACACUUUGAAUGUGAAAAUGAGGUAAACGCGUGGAGCAGUCGAGAGGAAAACAAUCGACUGCUGGAUUGGUACGUCCAUUGACCAAGAAUCAUGACUUAUGGUGUUUGUUUAGCUCAUCGAUUGUUGGUCUUUGACUUAAACGUGUUCAUUUGUUUACACAGAGGUGCACCUUGUAUUUCAGUUCAAAGAAAACGAAUGAUCUUACUGAAUCACAUAUGCAUGCACGCUGAUUUUCGUUACGAUUUUAUUCUGUUAAAAACCAAUGAUAAGGGAAAUUACAUGAGGGCACUCAGAUGUAAAAUAGCAACUGAAUGUGUGUGAGGUGUCUUUCAAACCUUUGUAGCCUACCUUUCUGUCUUUUAAGCACAUGUCUUUAACCUUACAGGUGUCCCUGUAAAGUGCCAUACAUCCCUCAAACACACGAAUGGUAUUCAAGCAGUGUUGCAAAGUAUCAAACUCAAAGAUUCCCUUUAAUCCUUCUCAUUUUUCUCUCACGGGCAACAUGUAGCGUCCAGCGCCGUGACCUGUCAGUACCUGGGAUUCCAAACAGAGCCCCUGCUGAUUAGAUUCCCCCAGAUUGUCUGCUUUACUCAAAUCUACUGAAUGAAUAGAUUUUUAGAUUUUUAAUUCUUCACUGUUUAGGUUAGUUGUGUUCGUUUAGUCUAUUGACUCUAAAAAUUAAAUGAGUUGCAUGGGAGGUCUCCGCCUGAGCGAGAGACCAAAGACUCUCCCAGUAGUGAUGAUGGCGUUACGAUAUAACGAAUAGCUUUGAACCAACAUGGCGAUCAGUCGGUAUUCAAACUGCUGUGAGACACACUACUCAAAAUCUACGGUGCAACUGGCGAUGGAUAUGUGAUUUGCAUGACCUGUUCAUUUGUAUGGUUAUGCAUAUUUUAAAGGCAGGUUGUAAAGGUAGAGCUAGUUUGGUGUGUGUGUGUGUGUGUGUGUGUGUGUGUAUGCGUGUGUGUGUGUGCGUGUGUGUGUGUAUAUAGUCUGACAUAUUUAUGAAUAUUUGUUAAAUACAUCUACCUGAGAGCUGUUUUCAGAUAGUCAGCCAAAGUUUUUUGUGUCACUGUUAUUAGAUAUUGUGGGUAGAGCAGAGGGGCUGACUUUUAAAAAACGCGUGGGUGUCGAGUCCACAGAAGGAUCGGGUGUUUAGAGUAGAUCUCUAGAAUAAUUUUCUUUCUGUUGUCGUUGUGUUCUGGGUGUUCUUCAGGCAUAUUUAAUCUGUGGAUAGUACAGGGAAAGUGGCAAGAAUAUAAACGAUUGUAUUACUCAUCCAAAGCCUUAGAAUGUACCAUCGGGUCAGCACAAUGCAACAUGCCAUUUUGACUCAUCCAGUUGCCUAAUCCACGCCAUAUUAACACACACACAGAGCACUAUGUAAUUGUCACUUUUUUUGUCAGUGUUUUCUUAACCUUGCUGUAGGUUUUCCUUUAGACGAGGAGUAUUUCACUUUAUUUUGUUUGGAUGACAUGACUUAGUUCUAAUUUUCAAUUUGGCUUAUAAUAUUUAUCUUUCUUAUAAUGAAUAUAAGGUUAAAAAAAAGUGUGUGUUUGUGUGUUCCUCAUGCACAGUUUCCUGAAAUUCCAUGUAAUGUUAAUUUUAGUAUGAUUAUGAUUGUAAACUCAAUAUUUUCUACGUUAUGCAUAUUGUUGAACUGUAUGCAUACUGUUCAUUUCCCUAGUCUUUUUUUGUCCUCUUUGAACAAAGAUGUUUUAUAUGAGUAUCUUACAGUGAUGAACUAAUAGAACAGAGAGGCAGAGUUGUCACUGUGGCAACCGUCGCCGAUAACCGAGUAAUAUUUUAAUGAUUGUAAGGUUUGUAACUAGUCAAAUAAUAAGAUAAAAAAAGAAUAUUAUAAAAAUCUAGUUCUUAGAUGUUUAGAGUAAAGAUGUUAUUUUCUACUGUAUCCAUUUCAAAUAGUAAACUAUUGUUUUAAUAUUUUUACUCUCCCUGGAAAUUGGGCCAUGUUGGAAAACAAGCUGCAUAUUUGAUCACUUUUUCAGGGGCAUCGUUGCCGGCGGGAUCAGGUGAAGCGAGUACGCGCGCUCGUCUCCUCCUCAGCCAACUGCAAACAACGAGGGUGGGGCGGGGAAAUCUCGAGGCGAUAAAGGUUGACUUUUUUGCACUUCUGUACAUAGUCAAAAAAGAGAGAAUCAUGUAUAUUGAGAUCUUAUUUUGAAUAAAAAAAAAAUUAUGUCUAUGACGACAAGGAAUUUUGCUAGGAUAACAAAAAAAAAAUCUUGUGAAAGGCUGAACAAAAUUGCUUGCAUCAAAAAGGGCACUGAGUUCUCACGCUCCUACCCGUUUCAGAAAAAGGCCAAGUGUUGCUCUUCUUUUUUGUCAGCAGCUUGUAGUUUGCCAGGUAACCUUCCGGAGGAGGCGUCCACUACCCUCCAGCGUGAGGGCCUGACUGGGUUUGUCUGGUCCCCGAACCUGCCUGUGUGGACAGGUUUGUGUGUCAUGGCCGCGCCCUCCCAGGCCCAACCAAUCACAACAUGUCCUGUCUCUUUACUUUACUGAGAGGAAUGCAUGUUAAAGGAAAAUACAUAUACCGUUUAAAAAAAAGAAAACUCAUGACACAGUAAUAUUGAAUAAGAAAACAUGUUACACAGAAAGAUGUAUUUACAGUAUACAAUAUUCUAUCAAUGUAAUGGAAUAAAAUAUAUAUAAAAAAAUACAAAAAUAGAAUAGUGGUUUAUUUAGAGAAAAAAAAAAACGAUUCCUGAGAAUAUACUCGCUAAAGUUUCACCACUUGGAGAGUUAAAAUACAUGCAACACAAACACCAUAGUUAUAAGUAUGUUCUUUCUGUUCAUGUAAGCUGUGCUUCUAGUAGAUGAAACUGACCAAACAGGAAUGUAGUUCAACAUCAGGUAGAAUUUAACAAAGAGAAUAUUCUCAAACGGAAAUACUUCUGAGUGGUUUGGUCAUAAAGUCGUCAGUUAGAAAUUUUGUCCUGAUCAUCUCUCGUCAUCUCUCAUCUUCUACAAGCACGCAUGCUUACGUUUACGAUAUAGUGUAAAACUGAACCUUUUUAUUUUUCUUUGUUUGUUGUUUGUUUUCUCUGCUUGUAGUGCCAAUAUGAUGUAUUCUGUCCUCUGCCACGGUUUGUUUCUGCUUGUUUUACUGUUCCAGGCCCCCUGAAAGGAUGUGUCACGUCUGCAAUGCCUCUCACCUGCUGUAGAAAGAAAGAAACCACUGAUUGUCACAGUCUAAAGCCAUAAAAAUACCAUCUCAUCAGAAUGAAACGUGUGUGAAGAGAGCUGAUGUGUAACACAGGUGGAGAGCGGUACCUUCUGAACCUGGUGUGAAUGAGUUUGCUGAGGUUUUAUUAACUACAUGUAAUAGCUGAAGUCAUGAAUGUAAUUAACAGAACCUGUCGUGUGCCAACUUUGAUAGAUGAGAGAAGAAGAGGGUUCUUGGCACAUUGUUUCACGAGGCCUGUAUUGCUAUAUUGAUUCUUGCUGUUAUGAAUAAAAAAAUGA